UACGAGGGGGGGCAAGCGUUGUUCGGAAUUAUUGGGCGUAAAGAGCGUGUAGGCGGCCAUACAGGUCAGCUGUGAAAACUCGAGGCUCAACCUCGAGACGUCGGUUGAAACCGUAUGGCUAGAGUCCGGAAGAGGAGAGUGGAAUUCCCGGUGUAGCGGUGAAAUGCGCAGAUAUCGGGAAGAACACCUAUGGCGAAGGCAGCUCUCUGGGACGGUACUGACGCUGAGGAGCGAAAGCCAGGGGAGCAAACGGG
rnacentral:rRNA from 1 species